CCUACGGGAGGCAGCAGUGGGGAAUAUUGCACAAUGGGGGAAACCCUGAUGCAGCGACGCCGCGUGAGCGAUGAAGUAUUUCGGUAUGUAAAGCUCUAUCAGCAGGGAAGAAUAUGAUGGUACUUGACUAAGAAGCCCCGGCUAACUACGGCCCAGCAGCCGCGGUAAUAAGUAGGGGGCAAGCGUGAUCCGGAUUUACUGGUUGUAGAGGGGGCGUAGACGGCAGUGCAAGCCAGAUGUGAAUGCCCAGGGCUCAACCCCGGGACUGCAUCUGUAACUGUGUGGCUGGAGUGUCGGAGAGGCAGGUGGAAUUCCUAGUGUAGCGGUGGAAUGCGUAGAUAUUAGGAGGAACACCAGUGGCGAAGGCGGCCUGCUGGACGACGACUGACGUUGAGGCACGAAAGUGUGGGGAGCAAACAGGAUUAGAUACCCCAGUAGUC
rnacentral:rRNA from 1 species